rnacentral:piRNA from 1 species
UCCUGGCAGCCUCUGCAGGCCCAAAUUCUC